rfam:Strongyloides ratti strain ED321 Heterogonic genome assembly, chromosome: 2
UCUCUGGUAGUAUAGUGGUGAGUAUCCGCGCCUGUCACGUGCGAGACCGGGGUUCGAUUCCCCGCCAGAGAG